AGAUUGAACGCUGGCGGCAUGCCUUACACAUGCAAGUCGAACGGUAGAGUAGCAAUACUUGAGAGUGGCGAACGGGUGAGUAAUAUAUCGGAACGUGCCCAGUCGUGGGGGAUAACGUAGAGAAAUUUACGCUAAUACCGCAUACGAUCUAAGGAUGAAAGCGGGGACCGUAAGGCCUCGCGCGAUUGGAGCGGCUGAUAUCAGAUUAGGUUGUUGGUGAGGUAAAGCUCACCAAGCCGACGAUCUGUAGCUGGUUUGAGAGAACGACCAGCCACACUGGGACUGAGACACGGCCCAGACUCCUACGGGAGGCGACGCAGUGGGAAGUUUUGGACAAGUGGGACGAAAGCCGUAGAUCCAGACAAUGCCGCGUGCGAAGGAAGAACGGCCGUUACGGGUUAGUAAACGUACGU
rnacentral:rRNA from 1 species